GACGAACGCUGGCGGCGUGCUUAACACAUGCAAGUCGAGCGGUAAGGCCCUUUCGGGGGUACACGAGCGGCGAACGGGUGAGUAACACGUGGGUGACCUGCCCUCAGCUCUGGGAUAAGCCUGGGAAACUGGGUCUAAUACUGGAUAUGACUCCACGGUGCAUGUCGUGGGGUGGAAAGCCUUGUGCGGCUGAGGAUGGGCCCGCGGCCUAUCAGCUUGUUGGUGGGGUGANGGCCUACCAAGGCGACGACGGGUAGCCGGCCUGAAAGGGCGACCGGCCACACUGGGACUGAGACACGGCCCAGACUCCUACGGGAGGCAGCAGUGGGGAAUCUUGCGCAAUGGGCGAAAGCCUGACGCAGCGACGCCGCGUGAGGGAUGACGGCCU
rnacentral:rRNA from 1 species